GCCUAACACAUGCAAGUCGAACGGUAACAGGAAGAAGCUUGCUACUUUGCUGACGAGUGGCGGACGGGUGAGUAAUGUCUGGGAAACUGCCUGAUAGGAGGGGGAUAACUACUGGAAACGGUAGCUAAUACCGCAUAACGUCGCAAGACCAAAGAGGGGGACCUUCGGGCCUCUUGCCAUCGGAUGUGCCCAGAUGGGAUUAGCUAGUAGGUGGGGUAACGGCUCACCUAGGCGACGAUCCCUAGCUGGUCUGAGAGGAUGACCAGCCACACUGGAACUGAGACACGGUCCAGACUCCUACGGGAGGCAGCAGUGGGGAAUAUUGCACAAUGGGCGCAAGCCUGAUGCAGCCAUGCCGCGUGUAUGAAGAAGGCCUUCGGGUUGUAAAGUACUUUCAGCGGGGAGGAAGGGAGUAAAGUUAAUACCUUUGCUCAUUGACGUUACCCGCAGAAGAAGCACCGGCUAACUCCGUGCCAGCAGCCGCGGUAAUACGGAGGGUGCAAGCGUUAAUCGGAAUUACUGGGCGUAAAGCGCACGCAGGCGGUUUGUUAAGUCAGAUGUGAAUCCCCGGGCUCAACCUGGGAACUGCAUCUGAUACUGGCAAGCUUGAGUCUCGUAGAGGGGGGUAGAAUUCCAGGUGUAGCGGUGAAAUGCGUAGAGAUCUGGAGGAAUACCGGUGGCG
rnacentral:rRNA from 1 species